CGGCUGCUAAUACAUGCAGUCGAGCGGACAGAAGGGAGCUUGCUCCCGGAUGUUAGCGGCGGACGGGUGAGUAACACGUGGGUAACCUGCCUGUAAGACUGGGAUAACUCCGGGAAACCGGAGCUAAUACCGGAUAGUUCCUUGAACCGCAUGGUUCAAGGAUGAAAGACGGUUUCGGCUGUCACUUACAGAUGGACCCGCGGCGCAUUAGCUAGUUGGUGAGGUAACGGCUCACCAAGGCGACGAUGCGUAGCCGACCUGAGAGGGUGAUCGGCCACACUGGGACUGAGACACGGCCCAGACUCCUACGGGAGGCAGCAGUAGGGAAUCUUCCGCAAUGGACGAAAGUCUGACGGAGCAACGCCGCGUGAGUGAUGAAGGUUUUCGGAUCGUAAAGCUCUGUUGUUAGGGAAGAACAAGUGCAAGAGUAACUGCUUGCACCUUGACGGUACCUAACCAGAAAGCCACGGCUAACUACGUGCCAGCAGCCGCGGUAAUACGUAGGUGGCAAGCGUUGUCCGGAAUUAUUGGGCGUAAAGGGCUCGCAGGCGGUUUCUUAAGUCUGAUGUGAAAGCCCCCGGCUCAACCGGGGAGGGUCAUUGGAAACUGGGAAACUUGAGUGCAGAAGAGGAGAGUGGAAUUCCACGUGUAGCGGUGAAAUGCGUAGAGAUGUGGAGGAACACCAGUGGCGAAGGCGACUCUCUGGUCUGUAACUGACGCUGAGGAGCGAAAGCGUGGGGAGCGAACAGGAUUAG
rnacentral:rRNA from 1 species